GACGAACGCUGGCGGCGUGCCUAAUACAUGCAAGUCGAACGCAUUUUCUUUCACCGUAGCUUGCUACACCGAAAGAAAAUGAGUGGCGAACGGGUGAGUAACACGUAGGUAACCUGCCCAUCAGCGGGGGAUAACACUUGGAAACAGGUGCUAAUACCGCAUAAUUCCAUUUACUGCAUGGUAGAUGGAUGAAAGGCGCUUUUGCGUCACUGAUGGAUGGACCCGCGGUGCAUUAGCUAGUUGGUGGGGUAACGGCCUACCAAGGCUGCGAUGCAUAGCCGACCUGAGAGGGUGAUCGGCCAAACUGGGACUGAGACACGGCCCAGACUCCUACGGGAGGCAGAAGUAGGGAAUCUUCGGCAAUGGACGCAAGUCUGACCGAGCAACGCCGCGUGAGUGAAGAAGGUUUUAGGAUCGUAAAACUCUGUUGUUAGAAAAGAACAAGGAUGAGAGUGGAAAGUUCAUCCCUUGACGGUAUCUAACCAGAAAGCCACGGCUAACUACGCG
rnacentral:rRNA from 1 species